rnacentral:rRNA from 1 species
UACGUAGGGGGGCAAGCGUUGUCCGGAUUUAUUGGGCGUAAAGAGCGUGUAGGCGGCUUUACAGGUCCGUUGUGAAAACUCGAGGCUCAACCUCGAGACGCCGGUGGAAACCGUAAGGCUAGAGUCCGGAAGAGGAGAGUGGAAUUCCUGGUGUAGCGGUGAAAUGCGCAGAUAUCAGGAAGAACACCCGUGGCGAAAGCGGCUCUCUGGAACGGUACUGACGCUGAGACGCGAAAGCGUGGGGAGCGAACAGG